CUAGGGGUGGAACAACUUUGACACAAAGUAAGCGCGGUGAAGAAGUGGGCACGGAAGGCAAAAUUUUGACAGCCUAUUACAUUGUUUACGUUUUGUGUCAAAGAAAAUCAAUGAAAAGUAUGACGAAACAGUCGUGCUUUGGUAGUGGUGUUUUAUAUGACGUCACCAUCAACUCGAUUUAAAUCAUUUUGUUUUUUUACAACAAACAACAGUGGCUAUUUUUCUACCCCGUAAUGCCGUCUUCGUAAUCUGUCGACGACGAAUAUUAAUAUCGAGGUAAUAUUUGUGCGACAAAAAAUAAACAACCGAAGUACCGAAGUGCCGGAUGCAAAGGGGCUUGAAUUCGGAAGCGCAUCACCACCGGCUUCCUGGUAGUUUCAACAACAGUCCCAAACAAGUGCGCCCUAGGAGCAGUUGAUAAAUGACAACAAUAACAAACUGCAGCAGAAGUGUAACCCCCAGUUGGCUAUUCGAAGGAAAUUUUAUACGAAUUCUCGAACAUCCAGCCGGAUAAUCUGUAACAGAAAAAGUCAUACAAAAGUUUCAGUCAGUUCGGAAGUGUCAGAAACGAAAACAACAGGAGUACAAAUAGAAUUCAUUCGAACCCAGGAAAUUAUCAGCAAACAACAGCAGCAGGGAUAGGUUAUACCAGUUGUGAAUAUGUUCUACCACUACCGAGAAAUCCAGGAAAUUACGUGUGACGGAUGCGCUACUGUAACACAACAGCUUAUUCUGAGGCCUCUAAAAUCGAAGGGCUAUUCCUCAGAAGAGAAAAUGGUGCUAGAAGUAAGUUGACUGAAUCAUUCUUGCUAAAAUUAGAUGAUAUUUUUGUAUGUCUCGAUGAAAUUGAUGUUUUUUUCGACAGCACAGCACAUACACGAAACAAAUUCGUAGCUCUACGGUCCCUUAAAUCAACCUGGUUCGAGUUUAAGUUCUACACGCUGCGCAACAUGCUUCGAAGGAGGAAACCGAUGCGGGUGCGGAUUGAGUGGAUUAAAAAUAUUUCGCUAAACCUACGGCUUUCGCAUGGUGAUUGACGAUGUGUUGCAGAAAAGUGAAGCAAACAUUACCGGCAAACCUAUCGGCCAGACAGUCAGGGGAAACCCAUUCUACGGGAUGAAAAUCCCGCAAAAAAAAACUAGACAAACGCAGGUCAGGAUGCCAGAGUAGAGGUGCUCUCCAACUGGUAAUCAAGGGCUCAAUCAUCAUCAACCAAAUCACCACCGACCUUUGGCUAGUUUGA